UUUUUUUAGCUACUUUUCUAAACAUGAACUAAUUAAUAUAACGUAAGGAAAGAUGUAACAUAACAAGGAUAAAUAUUUACUUUUAAUACAAAAUACACCCCGAGUGUGUGUUUUUCUUGAGUAGGUCGGGGCGAGCAAAUGUGCAAAUUCCAAGCGCACUUGAAUGCAGCAUGGCUACCCCCAAUGUGAAUGAGUGGCGCAGCAGUUUGAAUUUCUCUUCAUUUGGCAGGGCAGCUAUGGUGAAGACAUCCCAGACAAAUCCAUGAAGCCACAGGAGAGUAAGCUAAAAAGAAACUCUAACACCCAACAGUGAAGUUACAAACCCUGAAGAAGUCCUGCACCGUUACCAAAUUCUGCUGAAGGAAUUUCAACUGACAAAAAGCAUGACCCCAAAUGUCGUCAGUGUAAUAUAGACAAAAAUACAAUAGAUUUGACUGCAACAAUUACAGAAAUGACUUUGGUUGGAAAAGGUGAGGAUCUGGGGCCAUUUCCUGUUUUC